UCUGUGGGAUCAGUGGCGAACGGGUGAGUAACACGUGAGCAACCUGCCCCUGACUCUGGGAUAAGCGCUGGAAACGGCGUCUAAUACUGGAUAUGUGACGUGACCGCAUGGUCUGCGUCUGGAAAGAAUUUCGGUUGGGGAUGGGCUCGCGGCCUAUCAGCUUGUUGGUGAGGUAAUGGCUCACCAAGGCGUCGACGGGUAGCCGGCCUGAGAGGGUGACCGGCCACACUGGGACUGAGACACGGCCCAGACUCCUACGGGAGGCAGCAGUGGGGAAUAUUGCACAAUGGGCGCAAGCCUGAUGCAGCAACGCCGCGUGAGGGACGACGGCCUUCGGGUUGUAAACCUCUUUUAGCAGGGAAGAAGCGAAAGUGACGGUACCUGCAGAAAAAGCGCCGGCUAACUACGUGCCAGCAGCCGCGGUAAUACGUAGGGCGCAAGCGUUAUCCGGAAUUAUUGGGCGUAAAGAGCUCGUAGGCGGUUUGUCGCGUCUGCUGUGAAAUCCGGAGGCUCAACCUCCGGCCUGCAGUGGGUACGGGCAGACUAGAGUGCGGUAGGGGAGAUUGGAAUU
rnacentral:rRNA from 1 species